AGGGAGCAGUGGCUGGGGUGGCCCAGCUUCAAAGUCUCUGUCCUCUUGAAAAAAGGUGGUCGGGGGACAUUGACCCACCAGCCCCGCAGGCUACUGCCUGCAAACAAGAACCCCUCAUCUGCCACGCACGUUCUUAAUGUAUCUAUAGUCUGCCUGAUGCCACAAAGGAGUCCAGGUGGUGACUUCCAAGAGUGACUCCGUCGGAGGAAAAUGACUCCCCAGUCGCUGCUGCAGACGACACUGUUCCUGCUGAGUCUGCUCUUCCUGGUCCAAGGUGCCCACGGCAGGGGCCACAGGGAAGACUUUCGCUUCUGCAGCCAGCGGAACCAGACACACAGGAGCAGCCUCCACUACAAACCCACACCAGACCUGCGCAUCUCCAUCGAGAACUCCGAAGAGGCCCUCACAGUCCAUGCCCCUUUCCCUGCAGCCCACCCUGCUUCCCGAUCCUUCCCUGACCCCAGGGGCCUCUACCACUUCUGCCUCUACUGGAACCGACAUGCUGGGAGAUUACAUCUUCUCUAUGGCAAGCGUGACUUCUUGCUGAGUGACAAAGCCUCUAGCCUCCUCUGCUUCCAGCACCAGGAGGAGAGCCUGGCUCAGGGCCCCCCGCUGUUAGCCACUUCUGUCACCUCCUGGUGGAGCCCUCAGAACAUCAGCCUGCCCAGUGCCGCCAGCUUCACCUUCUCCUUCCACAGUCCUCCCCACACGGCCGCUCACAAUGCCUCGGUGGACAUGUGCGAGCUCAAAAGGGACCUCCAGCUGCUCAGCCAGUUCCUGAAGCAUCCCCAGAAGGCCUCAAGGAGGCCCUCGGCUGC
rnacentral:lncRNA from 1 species